CAGCAGCAGCCGCGGGAAUACAGAGGGUGCGAGCGUUAAUCGGAUUUACUGGGCGUAAAGCGUGCGUAGGCGGCUUUUUAAGUCGGAUGUGAAAUCCCUGAGCUUAACUUAGGAAUUGCAUUCGAUACUGGGAAGCUAGAGUAUGGGAGAGGAUGGUAGAAUUCCAGGUGUAGCGGUUAAAUGCGUAGAGAUCUGGAGGAAUACCGAUGGCGAAGGCAGCCAUCUGGCCUAAUACUGACGCUGAGGUACGAAAGCAUGGGGAGCAAACAGGAUUAGAUACCCCCGUAGUCCCUGUCUCUUAUAC
rnacentral:rRNA from 1 species